GCCCACGUAGCGUAAUGGUUAGCGCGUUUGACUCCUACUCAAGAGAUUCGGGGUUCGAGUCCCCGCGUGGGUG
rfam:Brettanomyces bruxellensis AWRI1499 AWRI1499_contig1811_scaffold25, whole genome shotgun sequence.